AUGCACCCCAGCUCAAUGGCCUCUCGAUGCAUGGCUGCCCGUAUUCCCAUCUUCUUGCUUGUCCUAUUCUCGUCCAUCUCGGCUUCUUCUCCCACUCCCACCAAUGGCAAUCGUAGUGACAUCGAUCUCGCCGCACUGCUCGCUUUCAAAGCCCAGCUCACCGACCCUCACCGCAUCCUUGCCGGCAACUGGACCACCGGCACGUUUUUUUGCCAUUGGGUCGGCGUCUCAUGCAGCCGGCGUAGGCAACAUGUCACUGCUCUAUCGUUGCAGGGCAUCCAACUUGCUGGGCCCAUGGCACCUCAUGUGGGUAACCUCUCUUUCCUCUCCGUCCUCAACCUCACCCUCACCAAUCUUACUGGACCGAUUCCAGCUGAACUUGGUAGGCUACAUCGUCUUACAUAUCUCGGACUUAGAGGGAAUAGUCUAUCAAAUGCCAUACCUACUACCCUAGGCAACCUCACAAGGCUCGAGAUCCUUAGUCUAGGUUCCAACCAACUCUCAGGGCAGAUCCCUCCUAAGAUGUUAUUGUAUAUGUACAACCUUAAAAAAAUUAAUCUGCUUGGAAAUGACUUGAGUGGCCAAAUACCACCAUAUUUGUUCAACAACACUCUAUCAUUGACGUACAUCCAUUUUGCAAAUAACAGUCUGUCAGGUCCUAUACCACAUUCUGUUGCAUCCCUAUUUAUGCUCGAGUUCUUUAGCCUUGAGUUUAAUCAACUCUCCGGUCUAGUGCCACAAGCCAUGUACAAUAAGUCUAGACUGCAAGCCAUAUGGCUCGAAAAAAAUGAUAACCUAACUGGAAUUUUUCCGAACAAUCAAAGUUUCAACCUCCCAAUGUUGCAAUUUAUUUCAUUAUCAAGUAACAAAUUUACUGGUCGGUUUCCAUCAGGGCUUGCAUCAUGUCAAUACCUACAAGUACUUGAUUUUUCUGCAAAUUCUUUUGUGGAUGUUGUACCAACAUGGUUGGCCAAAUUGCCACGCCUUGAAGUGCUUGAGUUGGGUUCUAAUAAGCUUAUUGGCUCAAUCCCAGCUAGUCUAAGCAAUCUCACCAGUCUUUCUAUAAUAGACAUGCCCUACAACAACCUCACAGGGGAGAUUCCGCCAGAAUUAGGUCUUAUACAGGAACUCUCACAUUUGUAUCUUGGAACCAAUCAGUUGACAGGGAAAAUUCCAGCUUCCCUCGGCAACUUAUCCAAAUUAUCUUACCUAGCUUUGGAAAUGAAUCAAUUGUCCGGCCAAGUACCAACUGCACUUGGAAAAAAUGCAGCUUUGAACAAUCUCGAUUUGAGAUAUAACAACUUAGAGGGGAAUCUAGACUUCUUAUCAGCUCUGUCCAAGUGCAGAAAGCUCCAAUUCCUUUGGUUAGGCGCUAAUUCUUUCACAGGCGUCCUCUCCGGCCAUGUGGGAAACCUCAGUUCACGAUUAAUAUUUUUUAAUGUAGGUGACAACAAGUUAAUAGGUGGGCUCCCGGUAGAAAUCUCAAACAUAAGCAGCCUUGAAAGACUAGGUGUAGAAAACAACCUGUUAACCGGGCCAAUCCCAGAAUCCAUAGCUAUGUUGGAAAAUCUUGGAUGGCUUGAUCUGUCAGGUAAUGACAUGUUAGGCCCUAUCCCAGCACAAAUGGGUUUGCUCGGAAGUCUAGAGCGGCUUUCUUUCCAUGCAAACAAAUUAUCAGGAUCUAUACCAAGUAGCUUUGGAAAUCUUAGUUUGUUAGAAAACAUCGACUUGUCUAAUAACCAGUUAAGUUCAAUGAUACCUGCAAGCCUUUUCCACCUAGAUAAACUUAUCACACUAGAUAUUUCUCACAAUUACUUUGUUGGUGCACUACCAGUCGAUGUUUCAGGUCUAAGACAAAUAUACCAAAUGGACAUUUCUUCCAACUUCUUGAUAGGAAGCAUCCCAGACUCAUUGGGACAACUUAGUAUGCUAAUCUACCUAAAUCUAUCGCAUAACUCCUUCAAAGGAUCAAUUCCAGGCCCACUCAAAAAGUUAAGAAGCUUAGCAUCAUUAGACCUAUCCUUUAACAAUCUCUCUGGUAGCAUUCCCACAUUCCUUGCCAACUUUACAUACUUGACUACCUUGAACCUCUCAUUCAAUAGUCUAGAAGGCCAAAUACCCGAGGGAGGUGUUUUCUCAAAUCUCACAUUGCAAUCUUUGAUUGGAAAUGUUGGGCUGUGUGGCGCUCCGCACCUAGAUCUUUCGCCAUGCCUUGACAUACCUCACUCAAGUAACAAACAUGUGCUACAAAUUCUACUCCCAACACUUACACUAGCUUUUGGCGCCUUUGCCAUUUCCGUAUACCUAUUGUUCGGAAAGAAACCUAAGGGGGGAGAGGACAAACAUUUUGUCAAUGCAAAUGAUGUCAUAGGCCAUCAGAUAGUCUCCUAUCAUGAGCUCAUUCAUGCCACCAAUAAUUUCAGUGAAGGUAACAUCUUGGGAUGCGGAAGCUUUGGAAAAGUAUUCAAAGGCCAACUAAGCACUGGUUUGGUAGUCGCUAUAAAAGUUAUUGACGUGCAGCUAGAGCAUGCCAUUCGAACUUUUGAUGCCGAGUGUCAAGUGCUUCGUAUGGCGCGACACCGCAACCUCAUAAAGAUACUCAACACAUGUUCCAAUCUUGAUUUCAAAGCGCUAGUGCUUCAAUACAUGCCAAAUGGCAGCUUGGAGAUGCUCCUACAUCAGACCAAGAGUACAGUGCGCUUGGGAUUCCUUGAGAGAUUAUGCAUCAUGCUAGACGUGUCGAUGGCAAUGGAUUAUCUACACCAUGAGUACUGCAAUUUGAUCUUGCACUGUGACUUGAAGCCUAGCAACGUGUUGUUCGAUGAGGAGAUGACGGCGCAUGUGGCGGACUUUGGCAUUGCAAGGUUGAUUCUAGAUGACAACAGCAUGACAUGUGUGAGCAUGCCUGGAACAGUUGGGUACAUGGCACCUGAGUACGGAUCUCUUGGAAAAGCAUCGCGGAAGAGCGAUGUUUUUAGUUAUGGAAUCAUGCUCCUUGAAGUCUUCACCGGAAGAAGACCCACCGAUGCUAUGUUUGGCGCACAACUAACUCUUAGGCAGUGGGUUCAUCAGGCAUUUCCUGCAGAGCUUGUCCAAGUUGUCGAUGUCCAGCUUCUACAGGGUUCCUCUCUUUCUAGCUGCAAUCAGGAUGGUGGUUUUCUUGCUUCGGUCUUCGAGUUGGGAUUGAUCUGCUCUAGUGACUUGCCUGACCAGAGGAUGACGAUGCAUGAUGUGGUAGUGAUGCUGAAGAAGAUGAAAGUCGAGUACACCAAACUGAUAGCUACUACUAUGCCACGUAGUGCAACACAAUGA
rnacentral:rRNA from 1 species